CCGAUAGUUGUGUUCCUUUGUCACCUGCCUGAGUGUUGUACCUCUGCUCAUGCAAACAGAGAGAGGGGCCACAUAAUGGUGUUACUGCAGAUGACCAAAAUAUUGAAAGAUCCUGUGAUCCACACAUCUCACUGCGAUGUUUUCGGCUAAAGUGCAGUCGAACAGCACGGGCUCCUGGGAUACGAUGCCUAUCUGGGACCUCAACCAGUGGAUGUUCAGAUACUAAGAGUAACCUACAGUGAUGAUCUUGGAGAAGAUGACUGCAAACAGUGGCUGCAUUACUCCGUUGAUGAUGGCACAGAUGGUUCCCACCACGAUGUAUGGCCACUCGGUAACGUUGAGACGCAUC